GUGGCAAAAUAAAAUAUUCCCGUUACCUGUGGGUUAGUGCUCACGUCUGAGCCAGUGACGUCACCGCAAGUGAGCUACGAGUUGUAGUGGGGGUCAAACUGCCAACGCGUUUCGAGUACAGGCGGUACUCUUCAUCAGGGAACGUUACAC